GGAGGAGGAGGAAACACGCUGCUGCUGUGGACAUGAAGCUUAAAAAGCAAACGACUGAAACUGAGUCGAAAAGUUGGAUAAUGAAGUGAAGAUUCAGUUCAACACUGAGCCGGAAGUGGAAAUACAGCAGGAGAAGGCAGAAGCUAACGGAGGAAACCUGUAGGAAGGCUUUCAUCAACAUGACCUGAGCAGCUGGUCUGUGGGUGGAGACAGAGACGGAAUGAAGAGGACGAAGCAGGACUCCUGUCUCCUGACAGACAGUUUCACUGUGACUGGCUCGGCUGCUGGAGACCAGCCGUGUGACUGGCUGACAUAUUCAUCCAUCACCGGACCCUCCCUUCAGUUUUCAUCCUCACUCGGUCUCUUUGCACUUUGCACUGUCACAUCCAGGCUGCAGGACACAGCCCGAACACCUCACUGAUGCUGGGGUCAGAUCUCUGCAGCAGCUCCAACAUCUGCUGGAGACACUGAAACCAGAGGAUCAAAGAUGCCAUUUCAUCGCCUCUGGGUUGCAGGUUCUGUGUCCAGCACGUGGCUGCUGUGUGUGGGAUACUCUCUGCACCCUGAUCCUCUCCUGCCCGUGCGGUUUGCACCGUGUGUGUUACAGAGCCUGUGACACUUUAAAAUGAGGGACAGCUGAGUGGACCACCUGAGCCGGAUGGACCAAUCACUGCGUGUCAGAAAUGUAGAUGACGGUCGGCCAUUUUUCUUCCACAGCUGCUGAAAUCUCAAACGAACCUGUGUUGCUGUGUCACACUGAAUCAGGCCUUUGUUUCAUGCUGCUGUUUGACAGAAGUUAUUGAUCUGUACGGCUGAAGUUCUGCAUUCACACCUCUGAGCCUGCUGCUUCUUCCUGCUGCCGACUGACAGAGAGGAGCAGAGACAGAGACAGAGACACACAGAGACAGAGACACACAGAGACACACAGAGACACACAGAGACACACAGAGACACACAGAGACACAGUAACUGGGAGAUUAUGCCCUCCUGAUGAUCUCCUGAUCAACAGUUUUUUAGAACCUUGAACCUUUAAAACAAACCAACAUGUUUCCCUGAACCAAACCUUCACUGCAGCUCAGUGAACCACAAACCAACAGACCUGGUCAACAUGUGUCAGCAGCAGAGUUUGGAGAGUUUUUAGGUUUUCUCUAAUGACAACAACAAACAAACAAACAACAACAACAAACAUCAGGUGUAAACCCAGAGCUGUCUCCUCUCAUCAUCCCUUCACCUUCAUCUCAGUGUGAGACACAAACCAUCAGAGCACACACACACACACACUGACAGCCUUUCACAUUACACACUCAUAACAGACAAAUCUAUGGUUUCUUUUGGCAAUCCUCAGGACUAGUUGCUAGGCAACCAGGGGAGUUUCUAAAAGCACUGGUAUCUCCUCUGCAGAGGGGGGAGAUGGUGGAGGAGGAGGGGGAGGUGAUGGUGUGUGUGUGUGUCUGUGUGUGUACAGGAACACUGAAUUGGACGCUGUACGGAGACGCUGGUUAUGUAACACCGUCCUGAAGUUGGCGCGCGCAGGCUGCAGGUGCACGGAGGAUUCGAACCGUUCUGCUUCCUGUUUGUCGAGCAGCAGCGUCA